rnacentral:rRNA from 1 species
UACGGAGGGGGCUAGCGUUGUUCGGAAUUACUGGGCGUAAAGCGCACGUAGGCGGCUUUGUAAGUUAGAGGUGAAAGCCCCGGGCUCAACCCGGGAAGUGCAUUGGAAACUGUGAGACUUGAGUACGGGAGAGGGCAGUGGAAUUCCCAGUGUAGGAGUGAAAUCCGUAGAUAUUGGGAGGAACACCGGUGGCGAAGGACGGCUGCCUGGACCGAUACUGACGCUGAGACGCGAAAGCGUGGGGAGCAAACAGG